rnacentral:rRNA from 1 species
CCACCUAGAGGAGCCUGUUCUGUAAUCGAUGAUCCACGAUCAACCCAACCGCCCCUUGCCAAGCACAGCCUACAUACCGCCGUCGCCAGCCCACCUCGAAUGAGAGCGCAACAGUGGGCGCAACAGCACCCCGCUAAUAAGACAGGUCAAGGUAUAGCCUAUGGGACGGAAGAAAUGGGCUACAUUCCCUAUGCAUAGGGCAACACGGAAAGAAGUAUGAAACUGCUUCUAGAAGGAGGAUUUAGCAGUAAAGCGGGACAAUAAAGCUCGCUUUAAGCCGGCCCUAGGGCACGUACAUACCGCCCGUCACCCUCCUCAUAAGCCACACCCCCACAUAAUUAAUACCACGUAAAUGCCAAAGAUGAGGUAAGUGUAACAAGGUAAGUGUACCGGA